rnacentral:rRNA from 1 species
CCCUUAGAUGUUCUGGGCCGCACGCGCGCUACACUGACGAAGUCAGCGAGCAUGUCCUACGCCGAUAGGUGCGGGGAAUCUUGUGAAACUUCGUCGUGCUGGGGAUUGAUUAUUGAAAUUAUUGAUCAUCAACGAGGAAUUCCUAGUAAGCGCAAGUCGGCAGCUUGCGUUGAUUACGUCCCUGCCCUUUGUACACACCGCCCGUCGCUACUACCGAUUGAAUGGUUUAGUGAGAUCUUCGGAUUGGUGCCACCGAGUCCAGCAAUGGACACGGUGAAUAUCGAAAAGUCGAUCAAACUUGAUCAUUUAGAGGAAGUAAAAGUCGUAACA